rnacentral:tRNA from 2 species
GCGGAUGUAGCUCAACUGGAUAGAGCAUCUGGCUACGGACCAGAAGGUUCCGGGUUCGAAUCCUGGCAUCCGCACCA